AAAAAGAAAAAGCCUGCUGCACGUAAAUAAUUGUUCUGCUGGCAAUCAGGAAAUCUAUAACAAGAAGUGACUGUCAGCUGGAAAUUGGGUUGGUGGAAACACAUCUAUUUUGAGACAAACUUGGAAGAAAUGAAAAGGCUUAUCAAGAGAAAUGAAAGCAUGGUAAUAUCCUUCAAAAAAGCAUGGAUAUUAUGUCUAAGAUUAUCUUUAUCUAGACUUUCUGGUGUGGAUUUUACUUAUAUGGAUACCUUCUAUCUGACAUACACUACUGUCAGAAAAAUUACGUGGAGAUUGAGUGCAAGAAAGCAGAGUAGAAGCACCUUUUUAUAGAUUUUCUGUGAAGAAAAUCCAUCUUUCUAGAUUUAUUGGUUUUUACCUUUUGAUUCAGUAAAACUCAGAAGAGAGAGCUAGACUCCCCUGGCAAGUUGCUGCAGUGCAAGGUCUGUCUUUCUCUGUUUUCUCCAAAAGAGUUGUCACACACGGAUAGAAUUGCAGAAAGCAAAGAAAGUGGUGUCACACUGGACACAGUAUUUUUACAGGGAGAAUCUGAAAAAUAUGCAGCUAAUUUAUUAUAGACAGACCCGAGGAAUUGUAGGAAUUAAGUGUAAUUUUUUUAAAGUAAAAGAUGUAAAAGUAAAUUCCUUGAAUUAUCAAUAAAAAUUUGAAGGUAAUAUGUAAUGUUAUUUUGUUGUCCACACAUCUCUCUUCAAGUUAGGAAAAAAGGGAGACAGGCUCCCCAGUUUUGCAGAUUAGUCCUCCAAAGUGCUGCAGGAUCAGAAUAUGAAGUAGAGGAAGGGAAAAUUUUAGGGGUCUUCAGAUUUUUAAUUUGCUGUGACUAGCCUACAUCUGGGACAAACAGUGCUGGCAACUCUCCUAGCACUGUGAGGAACACAUUUUGGCUCCUAUCUGCAUUUUUCAAUUAGGUAACCCAUCAGAUCCCACAUAACCUCUGUCCAACUCUCAUUAAGUAUCUGUUUCCUUUUAUUGCAGCAGACACUCCUCUAUCCUUUUUCACAUCUCCCAUGGCAACUUGAAUUCCACAUAUGGACAUAAGAAAGUGGGGAAAACAACCAGUUGGAAGUGGGUAUUCCCCUGGCAGUCUAAAAUUAUGCAAAAUCUGUAGCUUCUUUAAUCUCUAUGGCAGAAUUGCCUGAAACAGCACCAGAAAUCUAAUGCUAAAGCUGGGGAGAUUGUCAUCAGUAAAUAUUCCUUGAAUCACACAACUGGUAGAUUCCUUUCAGAAUUAAUUCUGUUUUACAGUGCAGCUCCUAAUACAUUUUUUUCUCUUUUGUAUAUUGCAUUGCAAAAUCAGAUUUACUAAAAAGGUGUAAAUGAAUUUUAACACUCUUGAAGAUGACCAAGACAUUGUUUUCAUUGAAAUAAUUGUGUUUGGUUUAUUUGUCCGAAGUGAAAUUUAUGGUGGAGAAUUAGGUGCUACUACAGGUUAUACAUAUUCUGUUUUACUUUCUAAAUUCAGGAUAUUUUUAUAGACUAAUUCCUGCUCUUUCUGAAGUUAGAUGAAGAAUUUCAUAAUAAAAAUUGUAGCAAGAAAAUAACAGGAAAUAUAAUAUUCUUUAGAAAAUUGGGACUACUCUGGCAUUUAUGGAUGUGUGUGUUUGUGCCAUACAUG